UACGUAGGUGACCAGCGUUGUCCGGAUUUACUGGGCGUAAAGAGCGCGCAGGCGGUCGUUCAAGUCGAGUGUGAAAGCCCCCGGCUCAACUGGGGAGGGUCAUUCGAUACUGAUCGACUCGAAGGCAGGAGAGGGAAGUGGAAUUCCCGGUGUAGUGGUGAAAUGCGUAGAUAUCAGGAGGAACACCGGUGGCGAAGGCGGGUCUCUGGGCCGAUACUGACGCUGAGGAGCGAAAGCGUGGGGAGCGAACAGG
rnacentral:rRNA from 1 species